rnacentral:rRNA from 1 species
GAUGAACGCUGGCGGCGUGCCUAAUACAUGCAAGUCGAACGCUGAAACGAGGAGCUUGCUCUUCUUGGGUGAGCUGCGGACGGGUGAGUAACGCGUAGGUAACCUGCCUUGUAGACGGGGAUAACUACGGGAAACGAUAGCUAAUACCGCAUAAUAAUGGAUGCCACAUGUCACAUAUUUGAAAGGGGCAUUUGCUGCACUACAAGAUGGACCUGCGUUGUAUUAGCUAGUUGGUGAGGUAAUGGCCUACUAAGGCAACGUUCACUAGCCGCCCUGAAAGGGUGAUCGGCAAAACGGGAACGGAGAAACGCCCAAGACCCUACGGGGAGGAGCAAGUAGGGAAUUUCGGGAAAUGGGGGAACGCCUGCCGGAGAACGCCCGGGUGGGUGAGGAAGGUCUCGGAUCGGUAAACUCUGUUGAAUGGGAAAGACGGGAUGUAGAAUGAAAAGUUCACGCUGUGACGGUAGCUAACCAGAAAGGGACGGCUAACUACGUG